rnacentral:tRNA from 1 species
CUAAAAGUAGUUUAAUUAAAACACUUACUUUGGGAGUAAAUAAUGCCUGUAACCGGGUCUUUUAGA